GACGAACGCUGGCGGCGUGCUUAACACAUGCAAGUCGAACGGAGUGGCGAACGGGUGAGUAACACGUGGGUGACCUGCCCUGCACUUCGUGAUAAGCCUGGGAAACUGGGUCUAAUACAGGCUAGUGUGGGAUGGGCGUGCGGCCUCUCAGCUUGUUGGUGGGGUAAUGGCCUACCAAGGCGGCGACGGGUAGCCGGCCUGAGAGGGUGGACGGUCACAGUGGGACAGGGGCACGGGCCAGACUCAUUCGGGAGGCAUCAGUGGAGAAUUGAGCAAGAUGGGCGGAGGCCUGAUGCAGGGACGCCGCGUGGGAGAUGACGGCCUUCGGGUUGGAAAGGCCUUUCACCAUCGACGCGGUAGCUGGAGAAGAAGCACCGGCUAACUACGUGCCAGCAGCCGCGGUAAUUC
rnacentral:rRNA from 1 species